GGGGGGGGGGGGGGGGGGGGGGGGGGGGGGGGGGGGGGGGGGGGGGGGGGGGGGGGGGCGUGUCACCUGCUGUCCCCAGGGUGACACACAGGGACAUGGCGGGUGGGCUCUGUGUCACCUGCUGUCCCCAGGGGUGACACACGGGGACAUGGUGGGUGGGCUCCGUGUCACCUGCUGUCCCCGUGAGCGGUGGAGAGACCCCUGAGGGACAGGACAGAGGGACACCGGCGGGCGGGACACGUUUAAUGCACAGUGCCACCACGCCCCCUUGUCCCCAAGAUGUCCCACAGCCGGGGCUGUGCUCUGGUGUCCCCCGGGGAUCCUGUGGUGGCUCGGGGGGGACCCUGGCUCCGGCCUGGGGGUCCCACAGCUCGGCAGGUGAGGGACACAGGCUGCUGGUGGCUCUGGGGGCUCGCGGGGACAGCGUGGGCUCCGGGGAUUUUCCUGGACCCAGUUUUGGGAUCUCUGGCUAAGAACCAAUGCAGCCGGGCAGGGGUGGCACUGAGGGGCUCCUGGCCUUGUUUUUGGGGUCUCACAGUUCAGAUGAAGGAGCUGGACUCGUGGUGGCUCUGGGGGUAUCCCAGCCUUGGUUUUGGGGUCCCACUGUGCCCCCACACUGCUGUGGCUCUGGGGGUUCUGCUGGCCCCGUUUUUGGGGUCCUGUGGCUCAGAUGACGGUGGCUUUGAGGCUGCUGUGGCUCUGGGGGUUCUCCUGGCCCCGUUUCUGGGGUCCUGUGGCUCAGAUGAUGAAGGAGCUGGACUCGUGGUGGCUCUGGGGGUAUCCCAGUUGUGGUUUCGGGGUCCCACAGCUCAGGCUGCUGUGGCUCUGGGGUUUCUCCUGGCCCCGUUUCUGGGGUCCUGCGGCUCAGGUGAUGGUGGCUUUGGGCUGUGGUGGCUCUGGGGUUUCUCCUGGCCCCAUUUUUGGGGUCCUGCGGCUCAGGUGACGGUGGCUUUGGGCUGCGGUGGCUCUGGGGUUUCUCCUGGCCCCAUUUUCGGGGUCCUGCGGCUCAGGUGACGGUGGCUUUGGGCUGCGGUGGCUCUGGGGUUUCUCCUGGCCCCAUUUUCGGGGUCCUGCGGCUCAGGUGACGGUGGCUUUGGGCUGCGGUGGCUCUGGGGUUUCUCCUGGCCCCAUUUUCGGGGUCCUGCGGCUCAGGUGACGGUGGCUUUGGGCUGCGGUGGCUCUGGGGUUUCUCCUGGCCCCAUUUUCGGGGUCCUGCGGCUCAGGUGACGGUGGCUUUGGGCUGCGGUGGCUCUGGGGUUUCUCCUGGCCCCAUUUUCGGGGUCCUGCGGCUCAGGUGACGGUGGCUUUGGGCUGCGGUGGCUCUGGGGUUUCUCCUGGCCCCAUUUUCGGGGUCCUGCGGCUCAGGUGACGGUGGCUUUGGGCUGCGGUGGCUCUGGGGUUUCUCCUGGCCCCAUUUUCGGGGUCCUGCGGCUCAGGUGACGGUGGCUUUGGGCUGCGGUGGCUCUGGGGUUUCUCCUGGCCCCAUUUUCGGGGUCCUGCGGCUCAGGUGACGGUGGCUUUGGGCUGCGGUGGCUCUGGGGUUUCUCCUGGCCCCAUUUUCGGGGUCCUGCGGCUCAGGUGACGGUGGCUUUGGGCUGCGGUGGCUCUGGGGUUUCUCCUGGCCCCAUUUUCGGGGUCCUGCGGCUCAGGUGACGGUGGCUUUGGGCUGCGGUGGCUCUGGGGUUUCUCCUGGCCCCAUUUUCGGGGUCCUGCGGCUCAGGUGACGGUGGCUUUGGGCUGCGGUGGCUCUGGGGUUUCUCCUGGCCCCAUUUUCGGGGUCCUGCGGCUCAGGUGACGGUGGCUUUGGGCUGCGGUGGCUCUGGGGUUUCUCCUGGCCCCAUUUUCGGGGUCCUGCGGCUCAGGUGACGGUGGCUUUGGGCUGCGGUGGCUCUGGGGUUUCUCCACUCCCACCCCCGGGCUCUCAGAAGCCGAGCUCGCCGUGGUGCCGGCGGCCGAGCGCGCGCCGGGCCUGGGCGAUGGAGAGGUCGGCGCGGUGGCCGAGCUCGCGGCACUCGCCCAGCGCCUGGCCCAGUUGCCGCGUGGCCUCACACAUCUGGGGGUGUCACCUCCUCCCCCCCGCGCCCCUCCAUCCCUGCGGGGAGCUCCUGGGGGGACACUGGGGUGUGUGAGGGGCACAGGGACACAUCUGGGGGUGUCACCUCCUCCCCCCCGCGCCCCUCCAUCCCUGCGGGGAGCUCCUGGGGGGACACUGGGGUGUGUGAGGGGCACAGGGACACAUCUGGGGGUGUCACCUCCUCCCCCCCGCGCCCCUCCAUCCCUGCGGGGAGCUCCUGGGGGGACACUGGGGUGUGUGAGGGGCACAGGGACACAUCUGGGGGUGUCACCUCCUCCCCCCCGCGCCCCUCCAUCCCUGCGGGGAGCUCCUGGGGGGACACUGGGGUGUGUGAGGGGCACAGGGACACAUCUGGGGGUGUCACCUCCUCCCCCCCGCGCCCCUCCAUCCCUGCGGGGAGCUCCUGGGGGGACACUGGGGUGUGUGAGGGGCACAGGGACACAUCUGGGGGUGUCACCUCCUCCCCCCCGCGCCCCUCCAUCCCUGCGGGGAGCU
rnacentral:lncRNA from 12 species